rnacentral:rRNA from 1 species
UACGUAGGGUGCAAGCGUUGUCCGGAAUUAUUGGGCGUAAAGAGCUUGUAGGCGGUUUGUCGCGUCUGCUGUGAAAUUUCGGGGCUCAACCCCCGAACUUGCAGUGGGUACGGGCAGACUAGAGUGUGGUAGGGGAGACUGGAAUUCCUGGUGUAGCGGUGAAAUGCGCAGAUAUCAGGAGGAACACCGAUGGCGAAGGCAGAUCUCUGGGCCGUAACUGACGCUGAGGAGCGAAAGCGUGGGGAGCGAACAGG